CUUGAGGACAUUAUGCCAAGUGAAAUAGACCAAUCACAAAAAGAUAAGUACUAUAUGAUUCCACUUACAUAAGAUACUUGGAAUAGUCAAAAUCAUAGAGACAGAAAGCAUAAUGGUGAUUGCCAGAGGCUGCAGGGAGGAGAAAUGGGGAGUUAGUGUUCAAUGGGUGUAGAGUUUCAGUUUUACAAGAUGAAAAGAGUUGUGAAUGGCUGGGCGUGAUGGCUCACACCUGUAAUCCCAGCACUCGAGAUCGUGCCACUGCACUCCAGCCUGGGCGACAGAGCAAGAUUCCAUCUCAAAAAAAAAAAAAAUUAAUUAAGAAAAGAAGAAAGGUCCCAAUUCAACAAUCAAAGUGUCUACCUUUAGAAAUUAGAAAAACAAGAGCUAACAAGCCCAAAGCAAGGAGAGGAAGGAAAUAACAAAAAGAUAAAGAUAAAUUAAUAAAAUUCGAAACGGUAAAAUGAGGGAAAAAUAAACCAAAAAUCUGGUUAUUUGAAAAGAUUAAUAAGAUUAAUAAACUUCUUGUCAGACUGACAGAGGAGAAUAAAAGAGGAUACAUAUUGCCCGUAUCAGGAAUGAAAGAGGGGAAUAUCUCUACAGACAUUACAGUCAUUAGCAAGUUUGGCCGGGUGUGGUGGCUCAUGCCUGUAAUCCCAGAACUUUGGGAGGCCAAGGCGGGCAGAUCACCUGAGGUCGGGAGUUCAAGACCAGCCUGACUAACAUGGAGAAACCCCAUUGUACUAAAAAUACAGAAUUAGCUGGGUGUGGUGGUACAUGCCAGUAAUCCCAGCUACUCGGGAGGCUGAGGCAGGAAAAUCGCUUGAACCCAGGAGGCGGAGGUUGCGGUGAGCUGAGAUCGUGCCACUGCACUCCAGCCUGGGCAACAAAAGCAAAACUCAAAGUAAAAAAAAAUAAAAUUAAUGAGGAAUACUGUGAACGUUUUUACACACAUAAGUGGACCCAUUGAUAAGGGCCAACUUCUUAAAAACUGCAAACUACUAAAACUCAUCCGAGAAGAAAUAGAUAACUUGAACAAUCCUAUAUCUAUUAAAGAAAUUGAAUUCAUAAUUUUUAAUACUAUCUUCAAAAACUGAGGUCCAGAUAGCUUUGCUGGUGGAGUCCACCAAACAUAUAAAGAAGAAAUAAUACCAAUUCUACACAAUCUCUUCCAGAAA
rnacentral:lncRNA from 1 species